CCUACGGGAGGCAGCAGUGGGGAAUUUUGCGCAAUGGGCGAAAGCCUGACGCAGCGACGCCGCGUGGGCGAGGAAGGCCUUCGGGUUGUAAAGCCCUUUUGGCAGGGAAGAGCAAGGACUGUACCUGCAGAACAAGUCACGGCUAACUACGUGCCAGCAGCCGCGGUAAAACGUAGGUGGCGAGCGUUAUCCGGAAUCACUGGGCGUAAAGGGCGUCUAGGCGGUCGGGUAAGAGAGACGUGAAAGCCCCGGGCUAAACUCGGGUGAGUGCGUGCGAUACUGCCCCGCUUGAGUGCCGGAGGGGAGAGUGGAACGGGGCAAGUAGGGGUAAAAUGCGUAGAUAUGCAUCGGAACACCGGUGGCGAGGGCGGCUCUCUGGACGGUCACUGACGCUGAGGGACGAAAGCCAGGGGAGCAAACGGGAUUAGAUCCCCCUGUAGU
rnacentral:rRNA from 1 species